rnacentral:rRNA from 1 species
UUAGAGUUUGAUCCUGGCUCAGGAUGAACGCUAGCGACAGGCCUAACACAUGCAAGUCGAGGGGCAGCGAGACGUAGCAAUACGUUGUCGGCGACCGGCGCACGGGUGAGUAACGCGUAUGCAACCAGCCCAUAAUUACGGGAUAGCCUUCUGAAAGGGAGAUUAAUAUCGUAUGUGCUAUAUAGGAUGCAUAUUUUAUAUAGUAAAGAUUUAUCGAUUAUGGACGGGCAUGCGUAACAUUAGAUAGUUGGUGAGGCUAUGGCUUACCAAGUCGAAGAUGUUUAGGGGUCUUGAGAGGGAGGUCCCCCACACCGGUACUGAGACACGGACCGGACUCCUACGGGAGGCAGCAGUGAGGAAUAUUGGUCAAUGGGCGAGAGCCUGAACCAGCCAAGUCGCGUGAAGGAUGAAUGUAUUAUGUAUUGUAAACUUCUUUUAUACGGGGAUAAAGUGUGUCUUGCGAGACAUAUUGCAGGUACCGUAAGAAAAAGCAUCGGCUAACUCCGUGCCAGCAGCCGCGGUAAUACGGGGGAUGCGAGCGUUAUUCGGAAUUAUUGGGUUUAAAGGGUGCGUAGGCGGUGACGCAAGUCAGUGGUGAAAUGUCUGGGCUUAACCGAGGAAUUGCCAUUGAAACUGUGUUACUUGAGUGCAAUAAAGGUAGGCGGAAUUUGUUGUGUAGCGGUGAAAUGCAUAGAUAUGACAAAGAACUCCGAUUGCGAAGGCAGCUUACUAGUUUGCGACUGACGCUGAGGCACGAAAGUGUGGGUAUCGAACAGGAUUAGAUACCCUGGUAGUCCACACAGUAAACGAUGA